rnacentral:rRNA from 1 species
UAGGGAAUCUUCCACAAUGGACGCAAGUCUGAUGGAGCAACGCCGCGUGAGUGAAGUAGGGUUUCGGCUCGUAAAGCUCUGUUGUUAAAGAAGAACGUGGGUAAGAGUAACUGUUUACCCAGUGACGGUAUUUAACCAGAAAGCCACGGCUAACUACGUGUCAG